AAAUUGAAGAGUUUGAUCAUGGCUCAGAUUGAACGCUGGCGGCAGGCCUAACACAUGCAAGUCGAACGGUAGCACAGAGAGCUUGCUCUCGGGUGACGAGUGGCGGACGGGUGAGUAAUGUCUGGGAAACUGCCCGAUGGAGGGGGAUAACUACUGGAAACGGUAGCUAAUACCGCAUAACGUCGCAAGACCAAAGUGGGGGACCUUCGGGCCUCACACCAUCGGAUGUGCCCAGAUGGGAUUAGCUAGUAGGUGGGGUAACGGCUCACCUAGGCGACGAUCCCUAGCUGGU
rnacentral:rRNA from 1 species